GUGUUGGAGCCCGCAGCUUCACAUGAUCACGACCCAUCAUCCGGGGACGAUGAUGAACUGCGUUCCUGUCACCAUAGGAGGCUUUCAGGAUGAGUGGGGGAACAUGCAGCAGCAGCUGGCAUUCAACCUAAAUGCAGACCAGAGACACAGUCCCAAGAGGAAUGUGUUGUUGGCCUUGAGGCAUCAUGACAGACAAUGUUUCUCUGGACUUCUUCUGUAUUAUCUGUCCCUUGUGAGUUGAAAGAUUUGAACAACACUGAUUUGACAGUAAACAACAGCACGGACACAGCUUACUGUUUUUAUUUGAGCUCAAAAAUGUAAAAUUUUAGAGGCCAUUGGGCACAAAAGGUGAGUUCACAUCAUGUUUCAGCAACAGUCCACAAAGAAUUAGUUAAGUGAAGACACUUCUCACUACAGAAGUGCUUAAGCACUCUAAAACCAUGCAUAUCUAUAUGUUGCCAUGGAAACCUUAUAGUUUAUGUAGCAUGUAUCUUUACCUGCAGGGAAACAUAACACUGUGCUUUAUUUAAACAGCAUCUUAUUUGCAUCAUUAAUAUAUACUGUAUCUUAUAAACUUAUAUUCAUAAUUUCAAUUCCCCAACAUCGCUGUAACUGGUAUACAAUAUUGACUCCAUUUAAGAUUAUAUAUACACAAAUAGAGUUAAAGUAGUAACCAGAAUAUGAUUGUUCAAGUAAUGUUAAACAGUAUUUUCUUACAGUGAUUAUAAAUGAGUUCAUUCUAUUUCUAUUAUAUUCUUGCUAUAUACAGGCCAAUAUCAAUCAGGCAGUCGUUCAUGUGCAUCAUGCCCUGUUGUAAUUCACAGGAAGCUGAAAACUAUAAAUAAACAGGUUAUUAUUGUUUUUUAAGAGAAUGUAUAUUUUCUACUAAUGUACAUCAGUGCUUGUUAGCACGCAAAAACCUUAAAAGAUGUAUUGCUAAGCCUUUCCUUAAUUGUUUUGUGGAUCUGGACUGAUGUGUAUAAAUCAGAUUUCGUCACAUAAACAUGAUUCAGCUAACUGGAUACUGUUGCUAUAGCAUGAUUUUUGUGCUGCAUAGAACACCUUUCUGACCUGGGAGUGUUUUCUUUUCAAGUGACUGUGCGGUUGUAGAACUGCUGACAUUUCCAAAUAAAGCAACACAAUUUUAAAGACUGAGACCAUUCAUAGAGCUAGCCAAUUCUAAACUAGGGGGGAAAGAGUUUGUUGCUACUUACAAAGAUGAUAAUCCUGAUGUUCUGAGUAAAAUAAAAUAAGUAUAUAUGUAAGUGCCCUCAAAAGAAAAAAUACCCUGCCAGAUUGCUAUAAUUUGUAGAGAAUCUUAGAGUUGGGAUGCAGGGGUUGCUAAGGACUUACUACUUUAUUAAAUAAUUAAGGCUAAAGAUACCAUCAAGCACCGAUAUCAUCCCUUGCUGAAGGAAAUCCCCCAGGCGUAGCAGAUUUCUACUUCAGUGGAAUUCUUAUGGUUGAGUCUCACGAUCUGUGACAUGAUAGGUUUACUGUCGCACUUCCAUAAAGUUUCAAGACACAAGAGAGGCAAAUUUAAAAAAGAGUUGUCUAAAUAAAUGCAGGAGUGGCAGACAUAUCCUGACUUUUAGUCUCUAAUGUGCAACAGGCUCCAAAAAUUCUGGAUCAUACAUUUCCCAUAUUUCAACUCAAUAGUGUCUUUACUUUUUACCUCCCAGCCUGGUAAAAUUUCACAUUCCACAACCCCAAUUUGUAACAAAGAGUUUUACACAUUUAUACAGGUCCAAGGUGAGAUUACUCAACUUCUAUCACGUUGGUACUGUCAUUUUCUCAGACUCAAAAAAGCUCCUCCAGAGCCUGUAAAGACAUUAUACAACUGUUUUCACAGGCUGUGGGGUACUCUUCAUUACUAAUAAAUUGACUUUAACAUGUAAAACUAGAGGAGUGCCCCUUUAAAGCAACCAGAAACAUAGUUUUAAGAUUAUGUGCAGCAGCAACCUAUAAAACAGCACGGCGUUUUCAGUCAGUUGUCGAUCCAAAGACAAAGACAUCUACUUUGGUUUUCAUGGCUGAGUAGCUGCUCUUAAGAGGCCUGUCAGAGUGGACAAUAACUAAAUCCUUGAGGAUACUGUUUGUGCAAUUUUAAGACACAGAAUAGUAAAAAUCCCCAAGAAUCAAGGGGAUGAAUAAAUUAAGUUGUGCUGUGAAAAAGCCUUUUAUCACAGAAGAAUGCUUUAUCCUGCUAUGGUCCUUUCAAAGACUGUUGCCUCUGUCAGAUCCCAGCAGGAGGAACACGUUCCAGCUUUGAGUAGAACAAGAUAUUCAGUGCUUGUACCAAAACAUCCGUGGCACUCCUUUCCCCCAAGUUAUUUCCACACACACCUGAUGAUAGCAAUGUGUUUCCGCAAAAAUGUUUUCUCUGUUCUGUGUAUAUGUCAGUCCUUCAGUCCCACAUGCACAUACACACCUAAGAAUUCUGUUUGCUGAUAGAUUAGUUCUCUGCUGAAGCGUACGCACGAACUGAGGCCAUGCAUUCUGAAAACACAAGCUAUAAUAGAACAGAAGUGAGUAGAUUAGCAACUGGAAGCUGGAGCUUGUUUUGUGCUUGAAAUUCUCAAAGUGAGGGCUACUUUCAAUAGCUGGCUCACUGACACACACAUAUCCACACUCAAACAAACAACUGUCCAUAACUCAGAGUACUCUUACAUCAGGAGGAACCACUCAGGCUGUCUGAUGCCAUGGUGUAAGUGGAAAUUUUUCUUAGAAGAUCUCAGGGCAUUGGGUCCAGUCCUGUCUGUCUUUGGCUUCCCAGUAGCCGCCCCUGUAGACGUGAGUACUUUCUCCUGUUGUAUCAUCUGUCCUCUUCUCAAACCACAGUGGCUGGUAACCCUCGAUAUCUUGUCCUAAUGACACAGAAUCAUGUUUUCCUUAAAACAUGGCUUGAAUACGCACUAUUCUCCAGAAUAUCAGAAUGUCUUACUUUUUCCAUAAUGUCUAAAUAUUGCACCCUUAAAGAGGAAUGUAACUGGACUCUGUCUGGAGAAAGACAAUUAAUUACUAUGUACGUUUCACCCCAAGAAAUAUACAAAGAAAGUUUUGCAUUACAAUCCAGGGUUUCUCCACAAUUUUUGCUUUUUACUUUAAGAGUACAUGAACAAAAUGACACAUGGAGAUCACCAACCUAUGUUUUUGAUUCAAAUGGUAUAUUAUAACGUAAUAUUUUGAACAUUUCGAUCCAAAUGUAGUUUUUGUUGUUGCCUGUGGACAGACACACAAACUCCAACCACAAUAGAUCUAAAUUGAUCAACCCAUCAUCUGUCUUAAUAUCAAUGCUGUGUAAGAGGUUAAAGGCAAAAUCCCUAUCAUCUUUCUUGUUCUUGUUGGUUUCCUUGGUCUCACCCUCCUCCAGGGCCUGAUUGGCUUGCACCUCCUUUCUUUUCCUCUCCAGCCUCUGAUGUUCCUCCAGUCGCUGCUUCUGGGCGUUUGCUUCAUCCCACAGACCUGCCUCCAUUAGCCGCUGAUCUGGCCUCAGACGACUGUCAGUGGGCGCAACGCCCUCUUCUGGUUCAUUCAAAGUCAAAGCCAGGGAGGAGAAAAAGUGCAUGUUCUCUGCAUUAUCUCUGGAGAGUGAAAGAUGGAAAAGACAACACAUUAAGAUAAAAGGUCUGAUACAGGGGAAAGAGAAACGGGGGACAGAUCACAAAGGGGAGAGCCUCCACAUCCUUGGCUGCUGUCCACUAUCUUGGCACUCUCCAUCUUGUCGUCCCAGGUUCCUGACAGGAUGUAAUGGGCUGUGCCCUCUCUGUCCUCUACCACUCCUGUCACCUAGAGACACCAGAGAAGAUCACAAACAGGAAGAGUCCGGUUACAUGCACAUUCUGACUUCUAGGAGCUGACAUAUUCACAGCUGGGUACUACUUUUCUUAUAUAUACUACUUUUCUUACUAUAUCUAACAGAACAAAGUUUUAAGGGAUGAUAAAUAUUUUUUAGGCUCCUGCUCUUCAUUGGCUGACAAGUCAGUGCCUUAGAGUUCUUUCUGGGUAGAUGUUGAUAUUAUCACACAACCAUUAUUCAGGAAUAAGACACCUCUUGAAGGUGAUCUACAGUUGUAAGCACUAAGCUUAGAGGAUACAAGAUGUUUUAGACAUAUUAGGCAAGAGAGACGCUUGAUCUGCUAAAACGGAGUGAAACAGGCUGCCAGUUGUCUAUUAGAGAAUAAAAAAGUACAACCGACGUACCUUCCGUGGGACUUCUCUGGAGAAGUAGCUGUAGGGGGAAAAUUUGAGACGGCAGGUGUCCUUGGUCGUGUUGUUUACAAUGUCAAUGUCUCCAGACUGCCAACAGCAAAAGACAGGAAAACAGCAGGAAAAUCAGAUGUGACUUAAAAAGCGUAUGAUGACCCUAAUUACUUUCUUCUUUAACGCAAUCCAAACACACACACACCCACCUGCUCUUUAAUACAAAGCAAAUUUAAUUUCUGAAUGGUAAUUUCCUUUCAACUCUUUUGGAGUUAACUGUUUUUAGAAGGUCUCUAUUAUAAGUUAUUAUUUUCACUGUUUUUUCUAAAAUAAUACUAAUACUCAUACUAUAAAUAAGAACAAACUGAUUUACUCCAAGUAAGAAACUGGUUGUGUUUUGACAGUGAAAGUAGGGAAAAACUUGAGAGGAACACACCUGAUCAAUCCAAAGUUUUCCCACAAUAAUGUUGUGCACCGUUGAUGUCACUUUGCUCCACACAUAGUGGUUUCCGCUUGAGUGGAACUGCAGGUGAAUGUUUCCUACAGUGAAGAGAAGGAAGACACACAAACACUGCACAUAACAUUGCAGUUUUAUAAUUAUUUAAAUAUGGCUAAUUAUUCAUGUUCUAACAAAUAUUUUGCGUGUGUUUACAGGUCAUAUCUGGCUUGUACUGGUAUACUGUAUAUUAUACUAUACUGACUGUCAGCAUGAACUAUAUCAAAGCAAAUUCCUGAGUGUUUGAAGUUCUUACCUAAUGGCACGACAGAAAUAUAUUUCCCACGAAACUUGCUAUCGAUAGUGAUAUGCUGCCACAGGGUCCAACCUCGCUGUGACGUCACAUGGUGGGCAGCAGCUGGUGGGUGAUGACUGACCUGAGAGUUAAUGGUAUCAGCUAGUGUCAGCAGAGGCCCUAUAGACAUCCUACUGUAUUUAUAUUUUUGUUCUUCACUAUGGGGUCAUUUGAUCUCUAUGUGUGUAAAAUGCAUGUGCAAGGAUGUGUGUAUGUAAAUACAAUUAAUAUGUAAAUGUAAUAUCAAUAAUAUCACCUGCUCAGAGAUAGAGCGAUAACCAUACUCCUCCAGUCGGUCCAGCUCGUAAGUCUCCCCCAGCAGAGGGUUGAAGGGCUUGGCUGUACGAUGGACCGUUGUGGAGUACGAGGAGACGGAAAAUGCAGCCACCAGGCACAUCUGCUCCAGGGAUGAGUCACAGCGAGCUGCCCGGUCCAGAAGCUCGCUGUACUCCAGAUCCUCCGUCAGACGCUGCAGCAUUGACAACGGCUCAUUGAAGUUUACCUGCAUUCACACACAGACACAAAAGGCAUGGGUAUCUUGGACAGGUCUUUGCCAAUACAGUUCUUCAUGAUGCUCCACAGAUUGAGGGAGUAAUUUGGUUUGUCAGGAAUACGGCUGCGUCUCGUUCUUCGUACCUGCAUGUGGUUUGUGCCUGAGGUUUCCUGAAAAAAGAAACAAAACACAAAGUUUCAGUUGUAAAAAUGUAAAAAAUAACGCACACAAAGAAAAGGAUGGAUAAGUGAUUGUUAAGUGAUAUUUUUGUGUGUAUAAGACAACUUUAGUACAAAGUUACAUUUAUUUUAUAAAUAUCAGUAUACUGGCGACCUACAUUCUCAUUGUGAGACCAGUCAUUGGGCACUCCUCCACUCAUCAUACUCUGAUUACUCCCUGAGCGCCUGAGAGAAAGCAACAUACUUUAAAUACAAUUCAAAGUAAUAGCUCUGCUGAUUGAUCUAGAACACAGCUCUGAGGUUAGUAUGUAUAGUGAUGUCUCACUUGUGCUGUAUGUCACCACUAGUAGUCACAGUUAUGAAUGCAGGGGAGUCCUCCAUGGCAUCGAAGAACUCUGCCUCAUCAUUCUCAUCACUCGCAUCCCCCUCCUGAGACCGCUCCACACCUACAGCAAUAUAAACACAGGACAAGGGGACAGGUUAGCUGAGUGUCUACCAUCUAUAAAUAUACAGUAUGUACUGUACAAUAUACACAAUGUAGAGCUCCCAUACAAGGGUAGGCCAAAUAACAGAGACACCUUACCAUAAUACAUAUCUCUGUAAUGUUUGCUCUUAAUGGUGCCAUGAAAACAAAUUUAUAAAAAUAGGGGAUAUCACUGGCA